CUCGCGUUGAGGCAAGACUCUACUUGGAGCAGUAUGGAGGGGGAAGUGAUAUUUGGAUUGGCAAGACUCUCUACAGGAUGCCUCUGGUAAACAAUGAUAUGUAUUUGGAGUUGGCUAAGUUGGACUUUAACCAUUGCCAAGCUCACCAUCAGCUGGAGUGGCUCUAUCUUCAAAAGUGGUACGAGGAGGCAGGCCUUGGAUGGCAUGGUGUGAGCAGAAGAACCCU